AGGAUUAACGCUGGCGGCGUGCCUAACACAUGCAAGUCGAACGAGGUAGCAAUACCUAGUGGCAGACGGGUGAGUAACGCGUGGUCAACCUACCGUUGAGUGGGGGAUAACUAGCCGAAAGGUUAGCUAAUACCGCAUACGAGUCCCGGGGGGAUCCCUGGGCCUUAAAAGGAGCAAUCCGCUCGAUGACGGGACCGCGUCCCAUUAGCUAGAUGGUGGGGUAAUGGCCUACCAUGGCUCCGAUGGGUAGCUGGUUUGAGAGAGCGACCAGCCACACUGGGACUGAGAAACGGCCCAGACUCCUACGGGAGGCAGCAGUGAGGAAUUUUCCGCAAUGGGCGAAAGCCUGACGGAGCGACGCCGCGUGUGGGAAGAAGGCCUUCGGGUCGUAACCACUGUCGAAGGGACGAUAAUGACGGUACCUUGGAGGAAGCCCCGGCGUAACUACGUGCCAGCAGCCGC
rnacentral:rRNA from 1 species